AACUUCUGAAUGUUGACCUCGAAUCAGGUAGGAAUACCCGCUGAACUUAAGCAUAUCAAUAAGCGGAGGAAAAGAAACCAACAGGGAUUGCCCCAGUAACGGCGAGUGAAGCGGCAACAGCUCAAAUUUGAAAUCUGGCUCUCGGGCCCGAGUUGUAAUUUGUAGAGGAUGCUUUUGGUGAGGUGCCUUCCGAGUUCCCUGGAACGGGACGCCAUAGAGGGUGAGAGCCCCGUCUGGUUGGACACCGAUCCUCUGUAAAGCUCCUUCGACGAGUCGAGUAGUUUGGGAAUGCUGCUCUAAAUGGGAGGUAUAUGUCUUCUAAAGCUAAAUACCGGCCAGAGACCGAUAGCGCACAAGUAGAGUGAUCGAAAGAUGAAAAGAACUUUGAAAAGAGAGUUAAAAAGUACGUGAAAUUGUUGAAAGGGAAGCGCUUGUGACCAGACUUGGGCUUGGUUGAUCAUCCGGGGUUCUCCCCGGUGCACUCUUCCGGCUCAGGCCAGCAUCAGUUCGCCCUGGGGGAUAAAGGCUUCGGGAAUGUGGCUCUCUCCGGGGAGUGUUAUAGCCCGCUGCGUAAUACCCUGUGGCGGACUGAGGUUCGCGC
rnacentral:rRNA from 1 species